GUCAUCGUAGCUCAGCUGGCUAGAGCAUUGGCUCUCACAAGGCCUUCCCCUUGCUGGCGUGAGUUCGAAUCCCACCGAAAACC
rnacentral:tRNA from 1 species